rnacentral:rRNA from 1 species
UACAGAGGUCUCAAGCGUUAUUCGGAUUCAUUGGGCGUAAAGGGUGCGUAGGUGGCGCCGUAAGUCGGGUGUGAAAUCCUGAGGCUUAACCUCAGAACUGCAUUCGAUACUGCGGUGCUUGAGGACUGGAGAGGAGACUGGAAUUCAUGGUGUAGCAGUGAAAUGCGUAGAGAUCAUGAGGAAGACCAGUGGCGAAGGCGGGUCUCUGGACAGUUCCUGACACUGAGGCACGAAGGCCAGGGGAGCAAACGGG